GUCUCCGGCCACGCCACCCUGAACACGUCCGAUCCCGUCUGAUCUGGGAAGCUAAGCAGGGUCGGGCCUGGUCGGUACUUGGAUGGGAGACCACCUAGGAAGACUGGGUGCUGUAGGUG
rnacentral:rRNA from 1 species